rnacentral:rRNA from 1 species
GGGGUGGGGGCGUCUUACCAUGCAGUCGAACGGUGAAGCAGAGCUUGCUCUGUGGAUCAGUGGCGAACGGGUGAGUAACACGUGAGCAACCUGCCCCGGACUCUGGGAUAAGCGCUGGAAACGGCGUCUAAUACCGGAUACGAGAUUCCACCGCAUGGUGAGUUUCUGGAAAGAUUUUUUGGUCUGGGAUGGGCUCACGGCCUAUCAGCUUGUUGGUGAGGUAAUGGCUCACCAAGGCGUCGACGGGUAGCCGGCCUGAGAGGGUGACCGGCCACACUGGGACUGAGACACGGCCCAGACUCCUACGGGAGGCAGCAGUGGGGAAUAUUGCACAAUGGGCGGAAGCCUGAUGCAGCAACGCCGCGUGAGGGAUGACGGCCUUCGGGUUGUAAACCUCUUUUAGCAGGGAAGAAGCGAAAGUGACGGUACCUGCAGAAAAAGCGCCGGCUAACUACGUGCCAGCAGCCGCGGUAAUACGUAGGGCGCAAGCGUUAUCCGGAAUUAUUGGGCGUAAAGAGCUCGUAGGCGGUUUGUCGCGUCUGCUGUGAAAUCCCGAGGCUCAACCUCGGGUCUGCAGUGGGUACGGGCAGACUAGAGUGCGGUAGGGGAGAUUGGAAUUCCUGGUGUAGCGGUGGAAUGCGCAGAUAUCAGGAGGAACACCGAUGGCGAAGGCAGAUCUCUGGGCCGUUACUGACGCUGAGGAGCGAAAGGGUGGGGAGCAAACAGGCUUAGAUACCCUGGUAGUCCACCCCGUAAACGUUGGGAACUAGUUGUGGGGUCCAUUCCACGGAUUCCGUGAC